GCCUGGUGUGUGUAAAAACCCAGAUCAGAAAUCACCAGACCAUCCCAGACAAAUGGUUGUCCAAUCGUUUCUUGAAAACCUCCAGGGAAGGAGCAGCCAUGGCUUCAGAGGCAAUCGGUUCAGAAAAGUGCAAAUCCCUGAAGAAAAUGGAACCAAUUUUCUUCCUGUGGAGUUUGUAAAUUUUCUAUUAACAUUCAUUUACUGAAGUUUUACUUUCAAAGUUGUGGUAAGAAUAAAAUGUGGGAAUAAUA